rnacentral:ncRNA from 1 species
CAAAACGGGGAGCUUCUUGCUGAGAAUGAGUGCACCGCAUUCUAAACCCGAGGAACCUGAUACGGAUAAUGCCGGCGUAGGGAGAA